rnacentral:rRNA from 1 species
GACGAACGCUGGCGGCGUGCUUAACACAUGCAAGUCGAACGGUAAGGCCCUUCGGGGUACACGAGCGGCGAACGGGUGAGUAACACGUGGGUGAUCUGCCCUGCACUUCGGGAUAAGCCUGGGAAACUGGGUCUAAUACCGGAUAGGACUCCGGACUGCAUGGUCUGGGGUGGAAAGCUUUUGCGGUGUGGGAUGGGCCCGCGGCCUAUCAGCUUGUUGGUGGGGUAAUGGCCUACCAAGGCGACGACGGGUAGCCGGCCUGAGAGGGUGACCGGCCACACUGGGACUGAGAUACGGCCCAGACUCCUACGGGAGGCAGCAGUGGGGAAUAUUGCACAAUGGGCGCAAGCCUGAUGCAGCGACGCCGCGUGAGGGAUGACGGCCUUCGGGUUGUAAACCUCUUUCAGUAGGGACGAAGCGCAAGUGACGGUACCUACAGAAGAAGGACCGGCCAACUACGUGCCAGCCGCCGCUGUAA